rnacentral:lncRNA from 1 species
CACCAAUCCAUCAAGGACCUUCAACAAGUUGGAGAAGGGUCUACAAUUGCUAUUUUGCAAUGUAAGAUUCAGUUGAAUUCAAAGAGUCAGUGUGAAAGAGUUUCAGCAAUUCACAGGGCAAAGAGCUAGUGUGUGCGCCUGACACGAUCCAUAACUCCAGAACACGAGCGCAAUAAACAAACGCAGGGAAUCUGUCAUACAAUUAAGUUUAUGAGGGAGUAGUAGUAGUUUGUGAGGCGUUUUAAAAACUAAAUUUAAUUUCUGUUCAGUUUGAAAAUGCAGUUGGAGGUAGGCUCGUCGCAGAGCAGCGAGCGUGCAGGUGGAAGGCCAGCAAUGGAGCAAGAAAGGGGAGAGCCACGUGAAAAAGACAUGAGGCACCUGCCAAGAGUAACAGAAUGUCGGGCAGACAGGCCGGGCUUGGCAGGGGCAGAGUGGCAGACCCGGCUGCAGAGGGGACGCACCAGUCCACAGUUGCUGCAGAAUGGCAAGGUGGAGCGCGGUGGCAGAGAAAAGAGUGGCAGGACCAGCAGCGAGUCGGACAGGAGAGACGCAGCGUAUUGUUCUCGGGAGUGCUUCCGUCUUUCCUGCAGUGACACGUACAACUGGACGCGUGCUCUUCUGUCUCACGGGUCAGUGUCAUCAGACGCACAGUGCCUACCUGGCAACCAACAGUGAGCCCAGCCGCGCAUUCCACACAUUUGUGCUCGUGGCGUAUUCUGACAGCACCCACACAUGCUGCGGUGAGUCAUCAUUCCCUUCAAGACGCGGCCGUCGUUUCUCUGAUCAAGACAGCAAUUGUGCAUGGCCUUUAAUGCAGCAUCAAACUAGACUGGCUCAUGAUUUUCCUCGAGCCACUGUGUGGAAUGAGUCCCAAGUAUGAUAGGGCUGAUGAAUCCCUUCAGCGUCCUGUUGACAUAGCUGGUCAUGGUGUUUAGGGCUCCGUUUUAGAUAUUAUAAUCAAGUCACAUCAGAUCCAUGGGUUCUCAGAGUUGUCUUCGGGCGUGUUCAUUUAAUGCCGCCAUGGGUUUUUAAUGAGGGGCACAUUGUAGAGAAAGGCAAAUAGCGAUGUGAUUUUAAUAGGCUCACUAUGGUCCACUGGCAAGGGAAAAUAGUCAUUGCAUCGGUCCUCUUGGAGCGAAUCAUUUAAGUAAGCGAGGGGAGCUGGGAUGUUGCCUGCUCGUCAGAGUUCAGGCUUAUAGCGGGGCUGUGUCGACGAGGUGGCAUGUCGUCUUUCAAUGUAGAUAAGGUGUUUGGAAUACAUUAACCUUUUCCUCAUUUGUUUUGUGUGUGUACCCUUUUUG